GCUAAGUCGGAGCGAGAUUUCCGGACGAAGAGUCGCCUCGGAUAUCGAAAACAAAACGCACGUCGUAGUAAAACCGAUAAUAGAUCCAUCGCUACGCUCCGAUCCGUCUCCGGAAAAAUCGGAUGAACGUGACGAUCCGGGAUUUCUCACGGAGUGCUCGUUAUUUUCUUAUGAUUAUUAUUACGAAACCUGAAAUCGAGAGAAAACGGGAUAUUAAUGUAUUACUAUAAAAAAAGUGGACUAAAAUCGGAUACGAACGAAAAACUAUACAGGGCUGACGGGU